UACGUAGGGUGCGAGCGUUAAUCGGAAUUACUGGGCGUAAAGUGUGCGCAGGCGGCCGCGCAAGUCGAGUGUGAAAGCCCCGAGCUUAACUUGGGAACUGCGCUCGAAACUACGUGGCUGGAGUGUGGCAGAGGAAGGUGGAAUUCCAGGUGUAGCGGUGAAAUGCGUAGAGAUCUGGAGGAACACCGAUGGCGAAGGCAGCCCCCUGGGCCAAUACUGACGCUCAUGCACGAAAGCGUGGGGAGCAAACAGG
rnacentral:rRNA from 1 species